rfam:Enterocytozoon bieneusi H348 ctg01_1547, whole genome shotgun sequence.
GUUCACGGAGCAGAUCUUGGAAGUGUAGCAUCAUUUGUAUGUGCCAAUGGAGGCGGGUUUGUCCUUUUAAUAGAAGGAAGUGAUACGAGCCUAGUAAAAGGGAAUAUAGUAGAUAUUCUAUAUAGAUGUACCUAUGUGGCGACACGACAGCGACCCCAACGACGUGUGCCGGUGAGAAUUUUCCGGGACACCCAGAUCUUAUGAGCGUCACGCUGAGACUAAGAACGAGUUGGGCGGUGAAAAUGAAGGAACAUCCUCGUACCGAACCGCAACAGGACUCCUAGGUGAGAAGCCUAAGGCAUAAUUGUAAUGUGAGCAAGGGAAAUCGGCAAAAUGGAUGAAAAACCUCGGGAUAAUCAUUGGCUCUAGCAUGCUAGAACUGGGCUUACAAGGGGAAUCUGACUGUUUAAUAAAAACAUAGCUUUGUGUGUACGCAAAGUGAAUUCUGCCCAGUGCUUGGGACGUUAAGGAAGUAAUUUUAAGUACGCACCUGUAAACGGCGGGAGUAACUAUGACUCUCUUAAGGUAGCCAAAUGCCUCGUCGCCUAAUUAGCGACGCGCAUGAAUGGAGCAACGAGAUUCCCACUGUCCCUGCUCACAGAUUUGCGAACCUACAGCCAAGGGAACGGGCUUGGGACAUGCAGCGGGGAAAGAAGACCCUGUUGAGCUUGACUCUAGCCAAGCACAGGCCUCUGUGACUAUAUCGUAGCGAGGUGGGAGAAAUGUGUGAGACCACUGACAUAGUCGGCGGGGGCACUCGCAAAGCUUGGUGGGGAGUUUGGCUGGGGCGGCACGACUACUAAAACAUAACGUAGACGUCCAAAGGUAAGCUCCGAGGGGAUGGAAACCACUCCGAGAGUAUAAGGGCAAAAGCUUGCUUUAGGUAUUAAUGUAAAUUUAUAAUACUGGAAACAGGGGCCUAGAGAUCCUCUAUGAAACUAAACAUAAAGGUGACCGAAAAGUUUACCCCAGGGAAAAAUGGGUUGGGGGCGGCCGAACGGUCCAUAACCGACCCCCCUUUUUGAAUUUUCAAUGGUCGGCCCUUCCAACCUGGGGGAAUUUCCCCCCCCAAGUGGGGGAAUUUUCCCCAAUAAAAGGGAAACUGGGCUGGGGUUUAAACCCCCCCGAGAAAGGGUAAAUUUCCCCCCCCUGGCCCCCCCCCAAAAAAAGGUGGGGGGAAUAAAAAAAGAAUUCCCAAUAAAAACCCCGGGGGGAAAUUUUUUUUUUUAAGCCCCCAAAGAGAACCCCCUUCUUCUUUAUAAAACGGGAAAACCCCCCCCCCCACAAGAGGGUUUUUUGGGGGCCCAAAAAAAAAAACACAUUCUUUUGGGGGGGGGGGGGGGGGAAAAAAAACUCUCUCGGAGAUUUAAAAACACUUUUUUUUUUUUUUUAAAAAAAAGGGGGCCGCAAAAAAAAAAAAGGUGGGGGGGAGAAAAAAUAUUUUUUUUUUUUU